CUACGGGUGGCAGCAGUGAGGAAUAUUGCACAAUGGGGGGAACCCCGAUGCAGCAACGCCGCGUGGAGGAUGACGCAUUUCGGUGUGUAAACUCCUUUUAUAUGUCAAGAAAAUGACGGUAGCAUAUGAAUAAGCACCGGCUAACUCCGUGCCAGCAGCCGCGGUAAUACGGAGGGUGCAAGCGUUACUCGGAAUCACUGGGCGUAAAGGACGCGUAGGCGGGUUGGAAAGUCAGGUGUGAAAUCCUACAGCUUAACCGUAGAACUGCACUUGAAACUUCUAAUCUAGAGUAUGGGAGGGGGAGAUGGAAUUAGUGGUGUAGGGGUAAAAUCCGUAGAUAUCACUAGGAAUACCUAAAGCGAAGGCGAUCUCCUGGAACAUUACUGACGCUAAGGCGUGAAAGCGUGGGGAGCAAACAGGAUUAGAUACCCCUGUAGUC
rnacentral:rRNA from 1 species